rnacentral:rRNA from 1 species
ACGUAAUAGAUACCCAGGUAGUCCACGCCCUAAACGAUGUCUACUAGUUGUUGGUGGAGUAAAAUCCAUGAGUAAACGCAGCUAAACGUGUGAAGUAGACCGCCUGGGGAGUACGGUCGCAAGAUUAAAAACUCAAAGGAAUUGACGGGGGCCCGCACAAGCGGUGGAUUAUGUGGAUUAAAUUCGAUGCAACGCGAAAAACCUUACCUGGCCUUGACAUGCCACUAACGAAGCAGAGAUGCAUUAGGUGCCCGUAAGGGAAAGUGGACACAGGUGCUGCAUGGCUGUCGUCAGCUCGUGUCGUGAGAUGUUGGGUUAAGUCCCGCAACGAGCGCAACCCUUGCCAUUAAUUGCCAUCAUUUAGUUGGGCACUUUAAUGGGACUGCCGGUGACAAACCGGAGGAAGGUGGGGAUGACGUCAAGUCCUCAUGGCCCUUAUGGCCAGGGCUUCACACGUAAUACAAUGGUCGGUACAGAGAGUUGCCAACCCGCGAGGGGAGCUAAUCUCAGAAAGCCGGUCGUAGUCCGGAUUGUUCUCUGCAAC